ensembl:lncRNA
CAGCAUUUCUAAUCAAAGUGUGGUCUGCAGCAAACAGCCUCAGCAUCAGCUCGCUAGUUCAUUAGGAAUACCAAUUCUCAGGUCCCACCUUGCAGUUUUAACAAGAUCCCUGAGUGAUUCCCAUCCACAUUAGAGCACACAGUUCCUUGUUCCCCAUGAAAACUUCCUGGUUGUAUCAAUGCUCCAACUAUGGAAUAGCCACAGCCUCAUAUCCCAAAUUGAGGAUCAGCCAAUUAAAGACAAUUUCAGCAAAGACACAGAAUUAACAAAAAUCUAGCCCUAUUUCAGAUGGUACAGUUCUUGUGGAAAAAACUACAUGGUUUUAAAGGCCUAACAAGUCCAGAAAGAUGAGAACAGGAGGAAUGGAUCCACACUUUGAACACAGUUGCAUACCACAGAGGAAUAGAGGAGCUGGAGGGGAAGAGAAAGCUAGUGACCAGGAGCAGUGUUCUUUACCCUGCUCUUAAAGCGGCAACCUAUGGACCUUCUCUGGUGGUCCAGUGGUUAAGAAUCUGCCUCCCCAGCCUGGAUGGGAGGAGAGUUGGGGGAGAACGGAUACAUGUAUAUGUGUGGCUGAGACCCUUCACUACUUACCCGAAACUAUCGCAGCAUUGUUAAUUGGCUAUGCCCCAAUAAAAAAUAAAAAGUUUAAGAAAGGGAUCUGCCUCCCAAUGCAGGAGAUGCUGGCUCCAUUUCUGGUUGGGGAGCUAAGAUCUGACAUGCCUCGGGGCUUCCUGAGCCUGCACACUGCAGCUACCCAGCCCAGCAAUGAGACAUCACAAGUGAAGCUAGGAAGACCCCAUGUGCCACAGCUAAGACCCAACACAGCCAAAUUAAUAAAUGAUCUUGUUUUUUUUUAAAGGGGCAACCUAGAAAAGAAUCACGGGGUCUGAGAAGAGGAUUACCGAAGAGUCAAAUAUCUACUGAGGAAAGUUGACCAGAGAUAAGAACUAACAAAAGGCCUUUGAGCCAAGAGCUCUUUCACUGACCUGGUUUCCUGUCAGUUAACUUUUUGCCAAGAAGGGGGAGAAUGACAAGAACUUAGGAGGUAUUUUUCUUAAUGGGAUUGACUGGGAUGGGAAUCAAGACAUUGGUUGGAGAGGUACCUAUGUCUACCUUCCCUUCUCUCCUCAGUUUUCUGAAUGACUGAAAAUAAACCACUUUACAUUCUCUCAGAUGUUCAGAUUUCCAGCCGGAGUCCUCAAGAACUAUUCAAGAGGACUAGGAAAACAUUGAACGGAUAUAAUGGUAAUCCUCAAAGCUAUUGGGCAAUAUCAGGACCAGAUGAGACUGUGUCUAAUAAAAGUUGAAUAAGUAGGAAAAGUGGAAUUUCCUUACAAAUCAUUAAAAAAAAAAAUGGAAAAAGAGUGCAACAUGUGAAAGGAAGGUGAGAUAUAAUACAUGGUAAAGUAGAGCUUACUUCAGGGAAUUGCAAACAGGCUAAAUUUCCUCCAUCUUCUCGGAGGAAUUUGAGUACUGGUGAAUGGAUAGGCGAGCUGGCAUACUGAAGAAGGACACUGAAGGGAAGAAGACGAUCAGUUUUGAAAUGAAAACGGCUUUAGAAGCAGAAUCAACAUUGAAAGAAGAUCAGAGUUAUGGAGGGUAGUAGGCAUGAGAAAAACCACACAGAAGGCAGUGGAAAAAUAGAAGGCAAUGAAAGAAAUUAACUUGGAGCUCAUAGAAGUGGAGACCCAACACAGGGCUGAUGAAAAUCUAGAAUGAGCUGUUUUUAAAGCUUAAAAAGAUACUUCUAUAUGUAUAACAUGUUGUGAAAAUAUAAAGCAAUGGGUGGAAAUAAUGACUCUUAAUUUGAAAGAGUGACUACCUCGAGGGAUUGGGAGAUGGAACCUGAACUGUACACAGGGUGAUGGCGCUGGUCAUGUCUUAUCUUUCAGAUACAACACAUCUGACACUCAUUCAAAAAUAACCAGACAUACAAGGCAUCAAGAGAGUGUAAUGGAAAAUCAAAAGAAACAGCAGUUGGUGUAAGGAGCCCACCAGGUAUCUUAAAAUUGGAGUUUUCAUGCAAUGGAUUUUAAAUUAAAUAUAAUGAAUAUAUCUGAUACAAUAAAACAUGAGAUUGGUAAUUUCAACAGAUAACGGUAAAUUAUAAAAAAUACACAAUGGAAAUUCCAGAACAGGAAAAAUGGAAAUCAAGUCUUCAAUGAAUAGGUUUAACAUGAAGCUAGACAAACAGAAGAGAGAAUUAGUGAGCUGAAGAUAAACGUGAAAAAAUAUACAGAAUGAAGUAUGAAAAGGUUAACACACAGAGACAACAAUGUAAGAAGCAUAGGGGAACUAGGGAAAAGUUUUAACCUAUUUGUUAAGAUUCCCAAAAGGAGAAGAGAGAGACAAUAAGGGAAAAACAAUAUUUAAAGAGACAAUGAAUGAUAAUUUUCUUAAAAAAAUCUCUGAACCCAAGCCCGAUGAAUAUAAGUCAUACAAGCUAUGACUGUAAUAACAGUGAUGAAAAUAAUAGCAUGAGGAAUAAUAGUGCCAUCUAACAUUGAUUGGCAGCAUUUUGUGCAUCAGGAAUCACUGCAGAAUCUUUUAAUUCUAUUAGCAUAUUUAGUCCUCACUUUGAGACAGAUGCUAUUGUUAUGUAUAUCCGAAAACACUUUAUAAGCCAGUGAAAACACUAAACCAGCAGUAAUGGUAGGUUAUGUUAUUUUCUUUAUAUGCACGGUAGAC